rnacentral:rRNA from 1 species
UACGGAGGGUGCAAGCGUUGUUCGGAAUCACUGGGCGUAAAGGGCGUGUAGGCGGUCCGCUAAGUCUGAUGUGAAAGCCCGAAGGCUUACCCUCGGAAGUGCAUUGGAGACUGGCGGACUGGAGUCCCGGAGAGGAGGGUGGAAUUCCUGGUGUAGCGGUGAAAUGCGUAGAUAUCAGGAGGAACACCGGUGGCGAAGGCGGCCCUCUGGACGGUGACUGACGCUGAGACGCGAAAGCGUGGGGAGCAAACAGGAU